GAGGGAGGCGGGGAGAGGCGAGCGGCGGGACUCCGGCACCGCCAGUACGCGCUGCCAGCCCGGCAGCCAACUUCCCCGCUGGAGUUAGUGUAUAAAGGAUACCAUAUAUGCACACACACAUACACACACCUCUCCACCAAGGCGCUCCUCCUCCGCCUCCUCCCUCGACCAACUGCUGGAAUUAAAAUAAAAAGCAAAACAAACACCAAAAAAAAAAAAAAAAAAAAAAAAGACAACAAACCAAGCGAGAGAGCGAGCGGGAGAGGGAAAGAAACAAUUCGCGAGGUAACGAGAGAUUUCAACUUUUUAAAAAUAUUUUUUACUUCUUUUUUUUUUUUUUUUUUUUUUUCCGACCGCCUAAAGGAAAGGUAGAGAAAAAAAAAAUGUCUUAUCCAGAGCGUGACUCUAGCAAGAAGGCUCCGGCAGGACUCUUGUUUCAAAGGGGACAAAGUGCUCCAGCAACAGCACAACUUUGAGAAAUGCAUCAUCACCACCAUCACCACCAUCAUCAUCACAGGAAGUUUUCUUAGGACACCAACAAAACUUGCAAAUAAAAGAGCAAAAGGAGACCGAGGAACCGAGGAGAGAAAGACAGAGAGAGGCAGAAAAAAAGGAAAAUAUACCCACACACAAAGCCUUAAAGGAAGAAGAAAAGUUUCUCUCUGAGAGGGGAAGGCUGAGAGGAGGAGAUGUACUCCUAGGGGAGCGGAGGGGAGAAGGCACGGGGGCUUUUUGAUUCCCCCCCCCUUUUUCGCUUUUUAGCCUUUGUUUGGUUUCCUCCCUCCAAGCAGCAACCCCGGGCGAGAAGAAGGCGGAGGAAAAAUAUAUAUACAGCUAAAUAUUUCUCUUUUUUUUGGAAAAAAAAAAGAAAGGCUUAAAAAAAUAUAAAAGGCGAAGCGAGAGCCGGCGACCGCAACGAGCGCGCCGCGGAGCGGAGGCAGGACGGCCGGCGGACGAGCGGAGGAGAGCGCGCCGCGGAGCGCUAGCAGGUGAACCCCGCGCCCCGGCGCCCCGGCGAGGCUGGGAAGGCGGCGGCGGCGGCGGCGGCGCGGGCGGCGGCCCCGGCAGCGGCCCCGGCAGCGCGGGGCAAGGGCGCUCUCGCCGGGCGCCCGGCAGCCGGCGGCGGCGGCGCAGCGGCGGCUGCGGCGCGGCGGGGGAGAGCGGCGGGCAGCGGGCGCGGGAUGGCCGCGGCCACCUCUAACCCCUACCUCCCCGGCAACGGCAUCCUGGCGGCCGGCUCCAUCGUCCACGCGGACUCGGGCGGCGGCGGCGGCGGCGGCGGCGGCGGCAUGCAGCCGGGGAGCGUGGCCGUCACCUCGGUGGCGGGCGGCUACCGCGGCGACCCGGCGGCCAAGAUGGUCCAGAGCGACUUCAUGCCGGGCGCCAUGGCCGCCAGCAACGGCGGCCAUAUGCUGAGCCAUGCCCACCAGUGGGUGACAGCCCUGCCCCACGCUGCCGCCGCCGCCGCCGCCGCCGCCGCCGCCGCCGCCGAAGCGGGCUCGCCCUGGUCCGGCAGCCCCGUGGGCAUGACGGGCAGCCCCCAGCAGCCGCCGCCGCCGCCCGACGUCAAGGGCAGCGGCGGGCGCGACGAUCUGCACUCGGGCGCGGCGCUGCACCACCGGCCGCCCCACCUGGGCCCCCCGCACCAGGGGCACCCGGCGGCCUGGGGGGCGGCGGCGGCCGCCCACCUGCCCUCCAUGGCCGGCGGGCAGCAGCAGCAGCAGUCGCUCCUCUACUCGCAGCCCGGGGGCUUCACGGUGAACGGCAUGUUGAGUCCCCCCCCCGGCGGGCAGAGCCUGGUGCACCCGGGGCUGGUGCGCGGCGAGACGCCGGAGCUGGGCGAGCACCCCGGGCAUCACCACCACCACCACCACCAGCACCCCGGGCACCACCCGCCGCACCACGGCGGUGUCAACAGCCACGACCCGCACUCAGACGAGGACACGCCGACCUCCGACGACCUGGAGCAGUUCGCCAAGCAGUUCAAGCAGCGGCGGAUUAAACUGGGCUUCACCCAGGCCGAUGUGGGGCUGGCGCUGGGUACCCUCUACGGCAACGUCUUCUCGCAGACCACCAUCUGCCGCUUCGAGGCCCUGCAGCUCAGCUUCAAGAACAUGUGCAAGCUGAAGCCUUUGUUGAACAAGUGGCUGGAGGAAGCCGACUCCUCCACUGGCAGCCCCACCAGCAUCGACAAGAUCGCCGCCCAGGGCAGGAAGAGGAAGAAGCGGACCUCCAUCGAGGUCCCGCAACCAAGAGAAACAAAUAAAACUAGGGAGGGAGAGGAAGAAAGUUGAUUAAUACGUAUGUUCUAUCCAAUGCAUCGUGCUUUUGUGAUAUACGAGAGCCGAAGAUUUGUCUCCUGCACCUCUACGAGAUCUGCACAAGCACCCGUCCCAGCUGAAGGAAACGAUUCCACGCGUGAUGAGCAGGAACGACGUGUCCUGCCUACCCGACCGCCCACUGCACCUUAGUUACUAUGUUCCCACGUGGAAAACACAUCUCUUUCCUCAAUUUUCAAUUAAUUACAGCUGUAUUAGAUACGGGACCGGUGUGUGCGUGUGUGUGAAAUUUUGUACCCUCUUUUCUGUUGCAGGUAGAAGUUUUUUGUUUGUUUUACUUCUCUCCAAGAAAGAUCUGUUUGCAUGUAUAGGGGCUCGGUUGUUUGGUUUUUUCCUUGUCCUUUUGUCUUAAGCAAAAGCUGAGUUUUUGGGAUGGGAUGAAGGGACAAAAAAAGAGAGAGAGAAAGGAAGGGUAUCUUUGAGAAGGAGCUGGAGUGGGAAAAGGAAAAAAAAAAUCAAACAGCAAAAAAAUCCCAGCAACCCAAUUCCAGAGAGAAAGGGUGGGCAUAGAGGUUUUCCGAUUGCCAUUCUGCAGACUGGCAUUAAAAACAAACAAAGAAACAAAACAAAACAAAAUACACACUGAAGGCUGGAUCGAGGGAGAGCUUUACUUUUGUGAAGUGUAAGUUUCUGAGGACAAGAAAUUCUUGGUGACGUCUAGUGUCCCCCGGGACAGGCUCGUCCCCCCGGGGCCGCCGGAGACCGAGGGGCAGGCAAGGCGCGAGUGCGGCGCCCAGCCUGGGGAGAACUGCUGGCUCUCCCUCUCUCCUGCCCCUAACUUUGUGAAAGAGGGUCGUUAUCGUUGUGGAAAAGAUCGUUUCCCUGGCAAGAGAGGGGCAGCUGGGCUCCAGACCCUCCCUGCUACCAGCUCCCACUGAGGGUGUGAGCAGUCGGUGCGCGUACCCCAGCUCCGACGGGUCGACCCCCGUCUUUGCCCGGUCCACCUGAGCCAGUCCCACUCCACUUUCGCAUUCCACCCCUCGUGGAGGGGAUACUCCCCCGCAGCCGCCGCACUGGGCAAACAGGGGCAGCCCUGCGGCCAGCUGGCCAAACGGCGGCCCUGGGGCCUCCCCCCUGCACAUUGCCCGCGGGGUCUUUCCCAGACUUUGCCCUACUCUCUCAACUCCUCUCCCUGGCCUUACUCUUCCCCAGCUUUCCCAGCCGCCGCCCCGCUGAGCCCGGCACUCCUACCACCUAGGUCUCGCCGGUGGUGGGGCAGCCGGAGAGUGGCAGAGCAGGGGAUGACCAUCCCCUUUGGCAUCUCUCUCGGCUGCCUGCCUGCCCGUCCUGGUUUUUCCUGUCCUUAGCCCUGCGGCCGCCGCUCUGGCCUCCCUGGCACGCAUAGAGCACGGCCCAGCUGCCUCUUGUCCCGUCGGGGGCCUUUUUUCUUCUCUCCCCUCAUACCUUCCUGGGCACGGGCUGCAGCCACCCCCCCGCGAGAGGGUUCUGCGGAGCCCUUCAGCCUCGCUGCCCACCGCUGCCUCCUCGUCUCCGUCGGCAACACAAAAGCCCUGAGCAAAGCAGCCAAGCAAAGAUGGCACAGCAAAGCCGGUGCCCUCCCUGCAAUGCUAACUCCAAAGAGGAAACUUCCCUCCGGGGCUGCGCUCCUAAGCCCGGGACUCCCUUAACAUUUGCAGCUUUCGGUGGGAGAAGGAGGUGUUUGUCACCCAAGUUUCCUCUCGUACCUUUGUGUCACGCGAGGCGGGACAACGUUGCGCCUGUUUCGCAAGCCAAAAGGAAACUUCUGAGCGAUGGGCUCGGUGCCACGGGCUGGGAAGGGUCUCCGGAUCACACCCCUGCCCUACACCCCAUACACAACCUCCUCGCCUCUCUCUUUGAAACUGUGUUUAAAACAACAGCUGAAACACAAUUAAUUGUAACUGAUUAACAUGGAUUAGUUUGGCCUUCAAAGCACUUUAAGUCAAUUCAGCAGCCAUAAUAAUAAUUAAUUCAUUAAUAAGUACUAUUGGUGCUUCACCGCUAACGCCAAGAAAAGUUUCCCUGAGAAGUACAGGUGGCAGGGAGUGCUAAAAUGAAAACAUUCGCAUGCAACUUUUUAACCAGAAGGGAAAGCACUUUGGUUAUAUUUGGAGACAUGUGUCUCACACAUUUCCCCCGUUUUUUGUAAACUAUGUAAGAAUAAACAUUACAGCUCUGGGCUUUUAAUUUCUCCAGAUGGAACCAUAAAGUACCUAGUAGAUUUUUUUUUUAUAUAUAUACUAUACAAUUGAGGACACAUGUCUGCUUUUCCCGAUGAGGACAGAGAAGCAACUUAAUUUGAAGGCAUAACUACUGAACCACAUUUUGAAUAGCACACUCGAACAAGUUCACUUUAAAAGGCAGGAAACCGCUAAGAGCACAGCACUGAAAGUUGCUCCUUCCCACUUGAGCUCGCCCGCCUGACCUUCACAUACACUUUGUCGUUUCGCACACACUUACAGAAGUACACACGCGCGGAGGUGGCAGGGUGCCUAGCCAUGGAGGGGGCUUUUCCAAGGCGGUCGCAUCCCCGAGAGGCUCCCCCAGCUCGCUGCAGGCUGAAGAGGCCGCUCGGGAUCCCACCUUCGGCGCGACGGAGGAGCCCUCUGAUCCUCGGGUGACGUGAGAGGUCUCCUCCUGCCCACCCCGGCUGAAGUAAGGGAUUCACUUACCCUCUCGGCGCUCCUCUCCGCUCCUCACACACACACUUGUGCGCCCAGAAAAGCGCUCUCGUGAAGGGCAAAAGGAGGGAGGGAGCCUCGAACCCCCACCGCUCGGCUACCUUAGGGUUACAGGCGUGCUGAGGGGGAGGCAGGAACCCCUAGGCUGGACGACAAAUAAUAAUAAUAAAAAAGUAUUUAAUAAGUUCGAGGAUAAGAUUUCUUGCUUAAUUGUUUAUUUUUUGUUUGGUUGGUUUUGGGAGCGGACGCUGGUGAUUGGAAUGACCAAAAUACCUUACACAUCUCCCUAACUAGACUUAGCCUCCCUCCUCCUUCUCCCAGCCCCCCAACCCCCUCCCCCCAUUCUGACUUACAUGUGUUUAGAGCAAUGGCAAGGAGCUCCCAACUGGAGCCCUGGCAGAGGGUGCGUUUAAACUAGGAUGAUUUAGUCCCCGAGAGCUCGGGUCCUGACUGUGAGCCUCCAGCCCCGCGUCAGCUGGGCGCUGCAGACAAACAGUCUUAAAUAUGCAUAACGAACAGUUCGCUUUCUUAAAGGAGAACCUACCCCACUGGAAAGUUCAUGGCCUGACGGCAGGCACGGGAGCGGGGUGCGGGGGUGACCUUUGCGCCGGGACAGCCCUAACCCCUUCUCAAGGUGGUCUCCUUACACGCUCAGCGACAGGGCUGAGGGCAUCCGGCCGCCUUUCGGCUGGGGACUGGGGGAAGAAGCGUUGGCGGGUCAGUCACGGGCUUAGUGAGUUGCGGACCAGCGGCUUCACACACCGCCCCAGUCCCUCCUGUCCUCUGUGUGCGAGGGGCCGAGCCGCGCACUUGGAGCAGCCCAGCUCCGGCGGACCCCGCAGCAGCCACAGACCGGCUGCCCGAAAACUUGCGGGGUUCUACAAAGGGGGGAAACGCGGGACUCCAAAACAAGAAUAAAAAGUGUCUGGGGGGAAGGAGAGGGACUGAUUAAAUACCCAGCCAGUAGAGCCCAGGCAGGCUGUGGAGAUUCCAUGAGCGGCUUUUUGGAAAGGAGAAAUAACGCGGGGGAGGGACGAGAGACUGCCCGUGGAUUUCGCCCAGCUUCCCGGUUGGAAACCGGCCGGCCCCCUCUCCCCGGCCCUUGCAGGAUCUUCUCCCGGUAGGAGGGACGGCUACGCCAGGCCCUCGCUAGCCCACUUGCCCCUGGUUUUGCCCUGGGGGGCCCCCAGGGGCCGAGCCCCGACAGCCGCCGUGAGGGUGCAGGCGGCUCCGGGCGCUACCCACGGGAAAGAGGCAUCCCUCUGCGGGGCUGGCUCCCCCCGUUUCGGACAAUAAGAGUGGUUUUUUUAAAUUACUAUUCUUUUUUCCUCCCCUCCACACACGUGGUUGUAAAGUCUGUAGCGCCAUCUAACGGGAGGCGGAGGCCGGGCCGUGCCGCGGCGCCCAGGGCAGAGGAGAGAGGGGCUGGGGCGGGAUCGCCUUGGGAAGUGCCCCUGGCACGAGGAAGGGCGCUGAUCCUGUGCAUAAAACCUGCCCGAAAGGUGCUUUGUAACCCGACCAGGGCAUUAUCCUUCAGGAGCUUCCCCCAACUUCCGCGGUGUUAUUUUUAUUUAUUACAUCGUUGUAGCUGUGAAGAACUGGUAGAGUAACUGGGUUUUUUGGGAGGGGGGGCAGGGUAGGGAGGAGGAAUGAAUAAAUCCCAUCAGAGCCUGACACAGUUGGGGAUGAAAAGGAGGAGGCUCUCUCAACCCAGCACAUUUGACUCUUUCCCUUUUUUGGGAGGUCAGAGAGGGCCCCAGACAGCUGCUGCAUCUUACAGGCCUCAAAUUUCUGCUGCUUCUUUAGUAUCCCAGAAAGCUUUCUGUUUCCAAAAUUUUUGAGCACAUGCUAAAUGUUAUGGUUAAAUUAUGAUGCUGCCCUUUUGACAGAGCACUUCAGCCAUGCCUCUGUCCAUAUCCAGAUGGGAGGCUUCUGACUUGGUCGCCCCAGUUCUGUUUAAGCACCGCAUUAGUUGCCCAGAUAGGAGCCUGCUCACCCCAGGCCCAUGGCAUGAACAACCAAAAGAAACAGAGACUCUCCUCGACAUUUGGGCUCAUAUAAGAUCACAGCUAAUCUCUACAGGUGCCUGCCUUGCUACAGCUCUUGCCACCUGUAAGGACUCAAGUUAGAAUUAGAGAAUAUAGGUACUUCUGCUGAACAGGAUAGAAAUUUUUCUUUAGGUUUGAAAUUUUUCUUUAUUCUGCUUCUGUAUUUCUGUUACAGGUACAGAAUACAAGCUAAGUAUUCAAAUACACAUACCAUUUUACUGUAUUUACUUAGGUCUUCUGUACAUACAUGUUGGCAGGAGUCCCAAAGAAGCACAGAAAUCUUUCUGUCCAUACAUGAAAUCGUAAAAUGGUAGUGUAGCCUUCGGCUAGAAACAAUUGUAUUUUCAUGGGCCACUCAAACUGGAUGUAUUUUUCAGCCCAGGUUGUCCAAUGCCCUUAGAUGUCACUUCUGCAUGUGGCAAAUCCUGUAUGACUUAGAUGGCCAGGUUACAUUUGCCCAAGGGAUUUUGGCAGAUUAAGUAUCUGAGUGCCACUGACGUCCAUUCACAUUAUAAAAAUUAAACAGAAUGCCAUCAGUGAACUGGUUUUAUAGAAUAGAAAUGUUGAUGUGCAUAUCCACAGAGAGGAACAGACUUUCCUUUUUGAGACUGGAAAUGCUCCUCUUAUUCAACGAUUGAGAGGAAGGGCAAUUUCUGUCUACACUGAAAAGAAAAUGCAUUUUUGGGUUCAUGGGCAGUAGAAAACCUCUAAUAGUCAGGCUAGGAUAUCUCAGAGUAGGCAUGAAAAAUGAGACACAGUCCAGUUCAUUAGCUAUCUAUGAAGAGUUAGGCUAGAGAGGUUUAUGGAUAGUUCCAGUGAAGAAUUUACAUGUCUUAAAAGUUAGUUGUCUCAGUACUUAACUUUCAAGUGCCUUUCCCUAAGAUUGGCAUCCUUGAUGUUUUGUUUGGCAAUACUGUGAAUUGAGAAGGUGCGUAUAGACAAAUCUUUUGUGCCUUAUCCAAAGUCAUACUGUCCAACAAAGGACAAGAACAGCAGAGAAGCCCAGGCUUGUGGUUGCAUUGGGAAAUAGAAAUUACUGGUCUUAGCUGAGAGAAUUUUUUAAACCAAGAAAGGAAAAGCUUUUCCUCCACUUUUACAUGAAGAGUAGUGGAAGGACAGCUACCCAGUGUCUUUCAGAUGGAAGAUUCCUCCUGCUUGUUCACUCCACAAGGAGCGCAAAUCCAGAAGGACAGCAGAUGGCACAUUUUGCUGUCACGAUUUCCAGUUUCAGAAAGAUCCUCCUGACAUUGGUGAGGGAGACUUACUUUGAGCUCUGCAGUAGCAGGUAUUAAUUUGUUUCUAUUGGGAUGGGACAUAAAGAUUGUAAUUCAGCCUAAAAUAUGACACCUAUUUUCCCUUACUAUAUAAUCUAGAGUACCUUGGGGUUUUCCUUAUUAUUCAAAGGAGUGAAGCUUUGGUUUUGAAAUUACUUCAGUGUUGUGAGUUUUCUCAAACUUGAAAUACGAGAAUAGUUCCUUGAGCUAAUUCAAGGCAAUGCAUUUCUCAGGUCAGCCCCAGGAGAGCCACAGGCAGGAUCAGCUAUGGCAUGUCAAAGGUACCUUUCACUGUGCAACUUAUGUGGGUGAGCCUAUCACAAGCUUUUAAUUCCGAACUUGCUGAAGUUGUGGUGGAAGGUUUCUGUUUCUUCAAAAUUCUUUUGAUGAACCAUUGGUGGAUUAUGUGAUAGGCCUAUUUGGUGGUUUUUCUGUUUGUUUGUUUGUUUGCUGCUUGUUUUUUUUUAUUUUGUUUUCUAGGGGGUUAGUUCUGAUCCAACUGAAAAAACUCUCUGUCAGCGUCAAAGGCAUCUCUCAGUGUUCUUCCCAUCUCAGUGCAGAAAGAUAAGGGGCCAAACCCUUUUGAGGUUCUUCUAGUAAAGCGAGUAGCACAUGUAUUCCUUUGUACAAAAUUGGAGCAUUCAUCCACAUGAAGGUAUGAAUAAAAAUCUGAGAGAUCUUGUGUUUUGAGCUUAGAGCUUGCCUUCUCUUGAUAGGAGACAGCAUGGACACCGUGAUAAGGAUCAGUGAUACAACAUGUUUUCCUUCAUUAGAAACACAACCCUGACAUUAAAAACAGCCUGCUGAAGAAUCAUA